rnacentral:rRNA from 1 species
GACGAACGCUGGCGGCGUGCCUAAUACAUGCAAGUCGAACGCAUGUUCUUUCACCGGAGCUUGCUACACCGAAAGAAAAUGGGGGGCGAACGGGUGAGGAACACGUUGGCAACGUGCCCAUCAGCGGGGGAUAACACUAGGAAACAGGUGCUAAUACCGCAUAAUUCCAUUUACCGCAGGGUAGAGGGAUGAAGGGCGGUUUUGCGUCACUGAGGGAUGGACUCGCGGUGCGUUAGCCAGAUGGGGGGGUAACGGCCUACCAAGGCUGCGAUGCAUAGCCGACCUGGGAGGGUGAUCGGCCCCACUGGGACUGGGACCCGGCCCCAACCCCUACCGGGGGCAGCAGGAGGGGAUCUUCGGCCAUUGGCGCAAGCCUGGCCGCGCACCUCCGCGUGAGUGGAGGAGGUUUUCGGAUCGUAAAACUCUGUUGUUAGAGGAGAACAAGGAUUGGGGUGGAAAGUUCAUCCCUUGACGGUAGCUAACCAGAAAGCCACGGCUAACUACGUG